rnacentral:rRNA from 1 species
GAUCCUGCCGGACCCGACCGCUAUCGGGGUGGGACUAAGCCAUGCGAGUCGAGCGCCCCGGGCUACGGCGGGGCGCGGCGGACGGCUCAGUAACACGUGGCUAACCUACCCUCGGGAGGGGGAUAACCUCGGGAAACUGAGGCUAAUCCCCCAUAGGUGGAGAGGCCUGGAAUGGUUCUCCACCGAAAAGGUCCCGGCGCCAUGCCCGCCGGUACCGCCCGAGGAUGGGGCCACGGCCGAUUAGGUAGUUGGUGGGGUAACGGCCCACCAAGCCGAUAAUCGGUACGGGCCGUGAGAGCGGGAGCCCGGAGAUGGGGACUGAGACAAGGCCCCAGGCCCUACGGGGCGCAGCAGGCGCGAAACCUCCGCAAUGCGGGAAACCGCGACGGGGUCACCCCGAGUGCCGCCCUAACGGGUGGCUGUGGCCCGGUGUAAACAGCCGGGCUUAGAAAGGGGAGGGCAAGGCUGGUGCCAGCCGCCGCGGUAAAACCAGCUCCUCGAGUGGUCGGGGCGAUUAUUGGGCCUAAAGCGUCCGUAGCCGGCCCCGUAAGUCCCCGGUUAAAUUCCACGGCUCAACCGUGGGACUGCCGGGGAUACUGCGGGGCUUGGGGGCGGGAGAGGCCGGGGGUACUCCCGGGGUAGGGGUGAAAUCCUGUAAUCCCGGGGGGACCACCAGUGGCGAAGGCGCCCGGCUGGAACGCGCCCGACGGUGAGGGACGAAAGCCAGGGGAGCGAACCGGAUUAGAUACCCGGGUAGUCCUGGCUGUAAACGAUGCGGGCUAGGUGUUGGGCGGGCUUCGAGCCCGCCCAGUGCCGUAGGGAAGCCGUUAAGCCCGCCGCCUGGGGAGUACGGCCGCAAGGCUGAAACUUAAAGGAAUUGGCGGGGGAGCACCACAAGGGGUGAAGCCUGCGGUUUAAUUGGAUUCAACGCCGGGAAUCUUACCGGGGGCGACAGCAGGAUGAAGGCCAGGCUAAAGACCUUGCCAGACGAGCUGAGAGGAGGUGCAUGGCCGUCGCCAGCUCGUGCCGUGAGGUGUCCUGUUAAGUCAGGCAACGAGCGAGACCCCCGCCCCCAGUUGCCAGCGGGUCCCGUUGGGACGCCGGGCACACUGGGGGGACUGCCGGCGAGAAGCCGGAGGAAGGUGGGGGCCACGGCAGGUCAGUAUGCCCCGAAUCCCCCGGGCUACACGCGGGCUGCAAUGGCGGGGACAAUGGGUUCCGACCCCGAAAGGGGAAGGAAAUCCCAUAAACCCCGCCGCAGUUGGGAUCGAGGGCUGCAACUCGCCCUCGUGAACGUGGAAUCCCUAGUAACCGCGCGUCAUCAUCGCGCGGUGAAUACGUCCCUGCUCCUUGCACACACCGCCCGUCGCUCCACCCGAGUCCAGUCGGGGUGAGGUGCGGUCCCGAAAGGGGUCGUACCGAACCUUGGCUGGGCAAGGGGGGAGAAGUCGUAACAAGGUAGCCGUAGGGGAACCUGCGGCUG